GACGAACGCUGGCGGCGUGCCUAAUACAUGCAAGUAGAACGCUGAAGAGAGGAGCUUGCUCUUCUUGGAUGAGUUGCGAACGGGUGAGUAACGCGUAGGUAACCUGCCUGGUAGCGGGGGAUAACUAUUGGAAACGAUAGCUAAUACCGCAUAAAAUGGAUUAUCGCAUGAUAAUCCAUUGAAAGGUGCAAAUGCAUCACUACCAGAUGGACCUGCGUUGUAUUAGCUAGUUGGUGGGGUAACGGCUCACCAAGGCGACGAUACAUAGCCGACCUGAGAGGGUGAUCGGCCACACUGGGACUGAGACACGGCCCAGACCCCUUCGGGAGGCAGCAGUAGGGAAUCUUCGGGAAUGGACGGAAGGCUGACCGAGCAACGCCGCGUGAGGGAAGAAGGUUUUCGGAUCGUAAAGAUCUGUUGUAAGAGAAGAACGAGUGUGAGAGUGGAAAGUUCACACUGUGACGGUAUCUUACCAGAAAGGGACGGCUAACUACGUG
rnacentral:rRNA from 1 species